AACGCUAGCUACAGGCUUAACACAUGCAAGUCGAGGGGAAACGACAUCGAAAGCUUGCUUUUGAUGGGCGUCGACCGGCGCACGGGUGAGUAACGCGUAUCCAACCUGCCCNCCACUUGGGGAUAACCUUGCGAAAGUAAGACUAAUACCCAAUGAUAGCCCACGAAGGCAUCCGAAUGGGAUUAAAGAUUUAUCGGUGAUGGAUGGGGAUGCGUCUGAUUAGCUUGUUGGCGGGGUAACGGCCCACCAAGGCAACGAUCAGUAGGGGUUCUGAGAGGAAGGUCCCCCACAUUGGAACUGAGACACGGUCCAAACUCCUACGGGAGGCAGCAGUGAGGAAUAUUGGUCAAUGGGCGAGAGCCUGAACCAGCCAAGUAGCGUGCAGGAUGACGGCCCUAUGGGUUGUAAACUGCUUUUAUAAGGGAAUAAAGUGGGUCACGUGUGACUUUUUGCAUGUACCUUAUGAAUAAGGACCGGCUAAUUCCGUGCCAGCAGCCGCGGUAAUACGGAAGGUCCGGGCGUUAUCCGGAUUUAUUGGGUUUAAAGGGAGCGUAGGCCGGAGAUUAAGCGUGUUGUGAAAUGUAGUGGCUCAACCUCUGCACUGCAGCGCGAACUGGUCUUCUUGAGUACGCACAACGUGGGCGGAAUUCGUGGUGUAGCGGUGAAAUGCUUAGAUAUCACGAAGAACUCCGAUUG
rnacentral:rRNA from 1 species